UUAACUUAAAUUUCUGACCAUAUGUGACACUUUAAAAAGAAAAAAAAAACUCUUGCAAUGGCCGUCAGAGAAAACUCUUACAUGGGCACUUUUUAACACAAAGAGCCAGUCCAAAUAUUUAGCAGUCAUAAGCUUUUUUAGGUGACCUUUGGGUCAUUCAGCAUUAAGUCAAAGUUUAAUGAACAACGAGCAGUUUGGCUUCAAGUAGCCUCAAGACUCAAGAAUAAAUUCAAAGCAGCUUUUCCAGCCGGUGACUGAACCAGGACGCGAAGAUGCUCGACCGACGGCACAAAAAUAAAUAAAAACUUUCAGUUUUCUUGAACUGUGAGUGUAAAAAAAAAACACGUCUGACAUUUGGGAGGAUAAUUACUUCAGAUGUGAUCAUGGAUGCUUCUAAAGGUUCCUUCGUUGUGGAAUAUUUGUUAAAGAUGGUCGAUAAUCUGCGCCUGAAGUGCUUUUCAGCACACUGGGCUACUAGUAGCAGACAUGCUCCUCUUUUCAGACAGCAGUGUUUUUCGCCUACGCGUUGUUACGACAUUUCCAUAUACCAAUGGAGACAGUAUUCCCGAAAGAAUGGAAGGACUCGCAUUCACCAAUAAAAAGCGAACAAGGUAUCCUUAUUCCAGAAAAAAAAAAAAAAAAUCCCUGGCAAUCAAUCACCCAUUUGAAAUAUACAGGAAUUCAGAGCAGGAUAGGCCCCGUGCACAUUUGGAAGCUUUCUAACAUUAGGAGAUUUUUUUUUUUUUUUGGUGUGUUUCGGAAGCUUUGUGAUGACAAAUAAAGGCGCUGCCUUAAGAUACAAGCAUAUUUGUUCACGUGAUUGUUCUCUUCUUCAACCAAGCCUUACCUCACCAAUCCAUUUUGAUAAAGGGUGGCGUUUAUUUCCUCAUCUGAACUGUGUGAAAAUGUUGCACUGCCAAUUUUCUUUCUGAUUCUUUUUUUUUUCUUUUUGCUGCGAGCAUAGCAACAAGCCUGCACACUUCAGAGUUGUAUCAGGUAUUAAUGAUGCAGAUUUUACACAUCCUGCUGCUCUAUCAGAGU